AAGAUUAGCAAAUAUAUUAGUUA
rnacentral:snRNA from 1 species